rnacentral:lncRNA from 1 species
AUUCACACAUGUAACAAAAUUUUCACAUAUUAUCUAAAUCUCUCUGUCUCAGAUUAUUAGUCACAGUCAUUUCUAUAUUAUAAGUUAUAUUGGUUACUGAAGAAUGAUAAUAUAAAGGCAUAUAAGUAAACUGACCAUCGCUUGUCGGAGCCGGAGCAGGAGCUGCGGACUGAGCCUGUGCCAUUGGAAAAAAAAUGGAGAAAACUAUCCAUACGAUUGUAAGGGCUCCAAAGAAAAGUUUAGACACCGACAUUUUCAAGGUUGAGAUUUUCUCCCUCUCACUCUUCCCUUUAACUGCUUAAUUUGAUAUAUAAUAACCAAUUAUAUACUCAGUUUUAAAAGGAUUUGUACGUUCUUCCCUCCCUCAGUUAUGGGUGACGAUUUAGAGAGGGAAGAACAAGAGAAAGAAGAAAACGAAGGAAAAGAGAAAUUUGAACGAAAAGCUAGGCAAAAGCGAGAGAAGAGGUAAUGAGAAUUUUGAGAGCUUCUUUUGGCAUUUUAUUGAACAAUUAUUUUCUAGUUUGUGGACGACCCGCAUCCCUAGUGGUUUCUUUCAACAUUUAGCAGUCAGAUUUUUUUUUAAAAAUUGUUUAACUUUCAAUCCUGAACAGUUCUAAUGUGAAACUAUCAUCAGGAAAAGUUUUAAACAAUUUUAAAAUCAGUUUCAGAUUAAGAACAGGUUCAAAACAAGUUCAGGUUCGAGAUUUUAAAGAGUUUAUGGUUUCUGGUUUUAUUUUAUUUGCAGAGACAUGUUGCUAAGUAUAGCUACAUGGCUGCGGAUGGGGGUAUUUAAUAAUUUAUGGGUUUUAGAUGAGUUUUCGAUGAUACCUGAAAACUUUUGAUGGGUUGAUCGGUCUAUCAGUUAGAGAUCUUCCUGGUUAGCUGAUGGAUUGCUCGGAAUUAUUGUUUUUGUUGCUGCUUGUUGGAAUAGGAGACUGGUAUAUGGUUGAGAGAGAUUUUGGUUUCUGGAACAAAUUUUCCGCCUGUAUUGUAGCUGAGCGUGGGGGCGCGUCCGAACUCCGAUUGAUGCGGGGUUAGCGGCGUUGACUUCGUCUCGUCAAGAGCUUUAAUUUGGUAUCUGGCUCGUCGUCUGGAUCCACCGGAGUUGAGGGAUAGAGCUGUUUGAAGUUUGUCGGGAAUUAGGGUUUUUACUGCUCGAAUUUAUUUCUGGUUUUCAGGGUUAGGGUUUAUGAGAGCAACGUCGUGCUGAUAACGUGUUGUAAAUCAAGUGUUGGGAAAAUAUUUCUGUUAUCAUUACUGUCGACCAGAAGGUCCAUAUAUAUACAAGGUAUUAGUUCGUCAUAAGGUCAUGUUUAUCCUAACAAGAUAAGGAUAAGGAUAAACACUAUGUUACAGAUAUACAUGGAAUAUAUUAGAUAAACACAUAGUUUCUGAUUGUCUUUAUCAUGUCCCGGAUUGGGCCUGCAGUACGGGCUGGUACAUGGUCGAUCAUUUGAUUUAUAACAAAAUAAAGGAUCGAGAAGCGAGGAACUGGUCAGCAGGUUGACUUUCCAAAUUAUUUGACCAAAGACCAGUCUCACUUCUCCAUUCUAUUACUGCCAGAUCAGCUUCCAACGUUCUUCAGUCAAAAAGUCAAACACUGUUUCUCUCACGAAAUCCUCUUUAUAUUCCCCUCUUUCAAAUAUAUCUUCUACGAGCCAUGCACAAUACACAUACAUCCUCUUAAUAACACAUUUUUUGUACCACUUUUAAUCCAUAUACCAUAUUAUUUCACUCUCUUAACGUAAUGGAGAGGAAAAGUAAUAGUGGAGAGUGGGAGAAGAUGAAGAAAGAGAUCAGCGAGCUGAUGACAGAAGGAAGAGACUAUGCUCACGAGCUCAAGUCUCAGCUCGGCUCUUCUUCAUCUGAUCAAGAAUCACGUGAACAUUUGGCCAAGAAGAUUCUUGAAUCUUACCACAAGUCUCUAACCAUUAUGAACCACUCCGGCGAACUCGACCAAGUUUCUCCCCAUAUCCACGGUGGAGGAAGCCCCAAGAGCGAUGAUUCCGACCAAGAACCCCACCAAAACAUGAAGAGGUAUAGUAUAAAGUAUAAACUGUCAUUUUUUAUGAAAUUUUUGAAUUUGGAUAAUGUAACAACGGCGAUACUAGUUAGCAUAAACCACUAAACUUGUUACGAAUGUGCCUUUCUAUUUAUGUUUUUUUUUGCAUAUACAAACUCCUAACUAUUUGAAAUGUGAAAUUUUGAAGUUCAAAGAAGUCGAUGCCAAGGUGGGCCGAAAAAGUCAGAAUUACCCGUGGAGCUGAGAUUGAUAGAACUCUUGACGAUGGGUUCAGUUGGAGAAAGUACGGCCAAAAGGAUAUCCUCGGAGCCAAGUUUCCAAGGUUAGUCUCGUAAAUUACCUCUGCAUAGUUCCUCAACUUAACGUGUUCAUUUAUUAAUCACCGACAAACUUGUGCCUGGAAAUGUGACAGAAACAUAGUAGUAUUACAUAAGUACCAAACUUUUAUAAUCAUAAAUUCAUAUCGUACGAGAAAACAAAAUCAUAUAUUAUAAUUUCCUUUCUUUUUUCUGGUACAGGGGAUACUAUAGAUGCACGUAUAGAAAAUCUCAAGGAUGUGAAGCCACCAAACAAGUCCAGAGAUCCAACGAAAAUCAUCAGAUGCUCUUUGAGAUUAGUUACCGAGGAAUACAUUCUUGCUCCCAAGCCGCAAAUGUACGUUCAGCCAUUCCGGUGCGAGUUCUUGAACCAAACCAGCCACAAGAACACGAAAAUCUUGAGAUGGUGAAGGAAAGUCUAGACGCUGGUCAUCACAACUACAAUCAUCAAGCACAUUUGCAUCAAACCCUUCAAUAUCAUUUGUCCUCUACCCCAACUCUAGAGAGUAACAAUAUGAUGCUUCAACUGGCAGAUCAGAACAUUGACUUAUUCGGAUCUACGAGUUUCUCUAGUGAUCUAGGAGCUAAUGUCAACUAUGAUUAUCUGGCUUCUCACAAUGUUGGCUCGGUUUCUCACUCUACAUCAAACUCUCCUUCGGAAUCUCCGUUUGAAAGCUUUGAUCCAAAUAAUCCAUUCAAAGGUUUUGGAGGGUUCUAAUCUUAGUUAAUCACUAAGAGAAAGAGGUUGAAACUUUAUGUGAUCUAUUAAGAGAGAUCGUUUAUUCAUAAUAGCUAAUCAAUUUCCAAAUCAAUAGUCCUACUUAGUUUCUAAAUCAUGUUUUUGUUUGCUUAUUAAAUAAGCCUUAUUUUGAGAUCCAUGUUUCUUUUACCAAAUGUUGUUGCAACAAGUUUGAAUCUUUCUAUUGCAAAAUAAAGCUUUCUUUGUUUUAGUUUUUGUCGGUCAAUGUCAGAGAUUGAUUUUUACAAAGCGUUUCUUUAAAAGUCAAUACGAACUCACAGUGGCAUCAAUAAUUGUUUUGGGUUUUAAUUUAAAAAUUUAAGUUAUAAAGAAUGUCCCUGAAGAUACUGAAUAUGGGAAUGAAGAAAGAUGUAAGGUGAUGAAAUAUAUUUCCAACAGUUGACGCACAUCGACGUUAUACAAAUGAACUUCAAAAUUGUAUCACUCCAAAUAUUAGAAAACCUCGUUAAUUUCUCUACCACAUAACUUUUAUGGUCUCCAUUCAAUUAUAAUCAAAAUGAGAAAAUAUAAUUAAACUAAAUAGAGACCAAAAUUAAAAUGACAAAAGGAUUAAUGGAUGUAAUAAGUGAGGACCAAAGCCACCAACAUAAGGACAUAUGCGAUGCCUUGGUCUAUUGUUGUUCCUGCAAAUGAAAACAAAAGGUUAUCAAAAUAUAGAGAGUUGUAAAAUUGUAUACUAGUUGGUUAAGGAGAGUUACUACUCAGCAAUUUCCUUAUUUUCAACUAAUGCCAUAUGUUAAUUAGUUUUUCCUUGGGAGCAUCCAUGUUUGAGAAGUUUAAGAUAUAUGCAUUCACACAUGUAACAAAAUUUUCACAUAUUAUCUAAAUCUCUCUGUCUCAGAUUAUUAGUCACAGUCAUUUCUAUAUUAUAAGUUAUAUUGGUUACUGAAGAAUGAUAAUAUAAAGGCAUAUAAGUAAACUGACCAUCGCUUGUCGGAGCCGGAGCAGGAGCUGCGGACUGAGCCUGUGCCAUUGGAAAAAAAAUGGAGAAAACUAUCCAUACGAUUGUAAGGGCUCCAAAGAAAAGUUUAGACACCGACAUUUUCAAGGUUGAGAUUUUCUCCCUCUCACUCUUCCCUUUAACUGCUUAAUUUGAUAUAUAAUAACCAAUUAUAUACUCAGUUUUAAAAGGAUUUGUACGUUCUUCCCUCCCUCAGUUAUGGGUGACGAUUUAGAGAGGGAAGAACAAGAGAAAGAAG